ACUCCUACGGGAGGCAGCAGUAGGGAAUCUUCCACAAUGGGCGCAAGCCUGAUGGAGCAACACCGCGUGAGUGAAGAAGGGUUUCGGCUCGUAAAGCUCUGUUGUUAAAGAAGAACACGUAUGAGAGUAACUGUUCAUACGUUGACGGUAUUUAACCAGAAAGUCACGGCUAACUACGUGCCAGCAGCCGCGGUAAUACGUAGGUGGCAAGCGUUAUCCGGAUUUAUUGGGCGUAAAGAGAGUGCAGGCGGUUUUCUAAGUCUGAUGUGAAAGCCUUCGGCUUAACCGGAGAAGUGCAUCGGAAACUGGAUAACUUGAGUGCAGAAGAGGGUAGUGGAACUCCAUGUGUAGCGGUGGAAUGCGUAGAUAUAUGGAAGAACACCAGUGGCGAAGGCGGCUACCUGGUCUGCAACUGACGCUGAGACUCGAAAGCAUAGGUAGCGAACAGGAUUAGAUACCCUGGUAGGAUAGCG
rnacentral:rRNA from 1 species